rfam:Sphingobacterium sp. 21, complete genome.
CGGGAUGUAGCGCAGGCCGGUAGCGCGCUUCGUUCGGGACGAAGAGGUCGCAGGUUCGAAUCCUGUCAUCCCGA